GGUGGUUUCAUAAUCAGCUACAGAACUCUAAUAGGUGUUCUUAAAUGCAGGUUUCUGAUAAAUUUGGAGAUUUUGAUGUUAGAAUAGAAGAAAAAACUUUCAGGAUCUCCUGGAGUGCUGAAAUGUUCACGAAUAUCAGGCAGAACAGGAGUUAACAACAUGGACUGGACUAAUAGAAGACUAAAGUAAUCUUUUUGACUUUUUGCUUAAAAGGAUCCUCUGUUUUGUUUUUCAGAGCCAAUAAAACUUUUCUUUUGAGUGAUUUGCAGCUUUUAACAAGUAAGUAAAAUAUACUCCUGUGAACAAAAUUUGGAGCAUAUUUGUUUCUCUCUACCUGAUUUCUCCAGAAUUUGGAAACUAUUUGUGAGUAUUCUUAACUUAUGACAAUAUAGUUAUUUGCAUAAGUGCAAUAAGAAUGUUUUCUUUUGUAACAGGACAAAAUAAAAGAAACCAGUUAUUUUACCAAGGCUUUGACUGGAAUGGCAUGCUUUCCUUUAAGGAAUCGAAUUUGGCUUACAGGGCCAAUAAAAGCCCCUUGGGAAAACUGGCCUCAUACCCUGUCUACACUGUCCCGUACAGGGUUCCUGACCUGUAGUAAAUAAAGAAUGUCACUUUCUAACAGGCCCAGGAGCCCUAGGUUAUCUUGGGACCUCGAAAAAAGAGGAAUUUACCUAACUGAUAAAUAUUUGAUAGUACAAACCUAUGGCUAGGCUUGGCUUUGGAAAAAAACCUUAUCUGAGAUUCCUUUUGUGGAACAAAGUCCAAUCAAAGCCAAUUUAAAAAGCCUAUGUGAAAAAUGAUUAUUUUUGCUGUACUUUACACAAAUAAUCAGGCUAAGUGUAAGACUAUGGCGUAUUUUUGCAAACAAAUCAGCCCUGUUAGGAUUUGUCUUUAGUAAAAAUGGGAGAAUGGAGAGAUAGAAAAAACAUAUUUUAAAAACAAUGGUACACUUGUUAUAAAAUUGUGAUCUCAUCAGUUAUUUUUGAGUUUUCUUUCUACGAUUUAGACUGAACCUGCUUAUUUCUGUGAACCAACCAGUGAUCUCUUAUGGCUGUUCAAAAGUAACAAGAGAGAUAUCACCUUUUGUCAUAACUCAAGUCUUAUGAAUGGCCCUCACCAUAAUGAUGCUUUUUGACUGAGCUCUUCUCUAACCUGAAUGCAAGAGGUUAGGCAUGAAUAUCAUCCCCCCUGUUCAGCCUGAAGAAGUUACAGAAGAUGAAUCUUCCACUCUCUACAGCCCUUAGGAUUAAGGGUUCUCUUACUGAAUGUAUUCUUAAACUGAACACUUAUUAAUCUUCCAGAUAUCACCUUUUGUCAUAACUCAAGACUUAUGAAUGGCCCUCACCAUAAUGAUGCUUUUUGACUGAGCUCUUCUCUAACCUGAAUGCAAGAGGUUAGGCAUGAAUAUCAUCCCCCCUGUUCAGCCUGAAGAAGUUACAGAAGAUGAAUCUUCCUCUCUCUACAGCCCUUAGGAUUAAGGGUUCUCUUACUGAAUGUAUUCUUAAACUGAACACUUAUUAAUCUUCCAGAUAUCACCUUUUGUCAUAACUCAAGACUUAUGAAUGGCCCUCACCAUAAUGAUGCUUUUUGACUGAGCUCUUCUCUAACCUGAAUGCAAGAGGUUAGGCAUGAAUAUCAUCCCCCCUGUUCAGCCUGAAGAAGUUACAGAAGAUGAAUCUUCCUCUCUCUACAGCCCUUAGGAUUAAGGGUUCUCUUAUAAAAGGGAGGGGGUAAAUAUGUCAGAGGCAUUUGAACCAGAGAAACUCCAUCUUGAAUAGUCCCUGUGUAAAAUAAGACUGAGACCUACUGGGAUGCAUUCCCAGGAGGUUAGGCAUUCUAAUUCACAGGAUGAGAUAAGAAGUCUCCACAAGAUACAGAUUAUAAAGAUUUGGCUGAUAAAACUGUUUGUGAUAAAGAAGCUGGCCAAAACACACCAAAACCAAGAUGCCAACAAAAGUGUCCUCUGGUUGUCCUCACUGCUCAUUAUAUGCUAAUUAUAAUGCAUUAGCAUGUUAAAAGACACUCCCACCAGUGCAAUGACAAUGUACAAAUGCCUUGGCAACAUCAAGAAGUUACCCUAUAUGGUUUAAAAAUGCAGCAACAUGGAUGCAGGGGGAGGCCAUAAUCAUAAGGGAGUUAACACAAGAAGAAACAACAAAAUUCCACAUGUUUUCAUGGAUAAGUGGGAGCUUAACACUGAGCAUGGGAACAUGAACAUGAACACGAGAAAUAUAGACACUGUGGACUCCUAGAGGUAGGUGGUAGGGAAUGGAAUGUUGGUUGAAAAACUACUUAUUGAACGUUAGGCUCACUACCUGGGUCCAAAAUUGCCAUGUAACAAUCCUACACAUGUAACCCCUGUAUCUCCCUGUAUCUUAAACAAAAGUUGAAAUUCGGAAAAGAAACUGCCUUCACGGUAUCCCUUAUGUGUUGCUAUAUCGUGUUUUCAGUUUCAUUUGUCUCAAGAUAUUUCAUGAUUUCCCUUUUUUGAUCCAUUGCUUAUUCAUGUGUGUGUUGUUUUGUUUCCACAUAUUUGUGUAUUUUCCAAUUGUCCUGUUGUUAUUAAUUUCUAGAUCCAUCUUAUUCUGAUUGAAAAAGAGGUUUGCUAUUAUUUCAAUCUUCUUAAAUUUGUUAAGACUUGGUUUGUGGUGUAACAUGUAACUUGUCCUGGAGAAUGUUCCAGGUGUGCUUGAAAAGGAUGUCUAUUCUGCAAAAUGGAUAUGCAAAAAUGGCUAGCAUUCCUAUACACCAACAAUAGGCAAGCAGGGAGCCAAAUCAUGAUUGAACUCCCAUUCACAAUUUCUACACAAAGACGGAAAUACCUAGAAACACAGCUAACAAGGGAAAUGAAGGACCUCUUUAAGGAGAACCACAAACCACUUCUCAAAGGAAUCAGAGAGAACACAAAAAAAAUAGAAAAGCAUUCCAUGCUCAUGGCCAGGAAGAAUCAAUAUCAUAAAAACGGCCAUACUGCCCAAAGUAAUUUCUAGAUUCAAUGCUAUUUCCAUUAAACUACCAUUGACAGACUUCACAGAAAUAGAGAAAAAAAAAAAAAAAACGACUUUAAAAUUCAUAGGGAACCAAAAAAGAGCCCGAAUAGCCAAGACAAUCCUAAGCAAAAAGACCAAAGCUGCUACCUGACUUUAAACUAUACUACAAGACUGCAGUAAACAAAACCACAUGGUACUGGUACAAGGACAGACACACAGACCAAUGGAACAGAAUAGAGAAUGCAGAAAUAAGACCACACACCUACAACCAACUGAUCUUCGACAAACCUGACAAAAAUUAGCAAUGGGGAAAGAAUUCCUUAUUUAAUAAAUGAUGCUGAAAGAACUGGCUAGCCAUAGGCAGAAAACUGAAACUGGACCCCUUCCCCACACCAUAUGCAAAAAUUAACUCAAGACGGAUUAAAGACUUAAACGUAAAACCCAGAACUAUAAAAACCCUAGAAGAAAAUCUAGAUAAUACCAUCCAGGACAUAGGCAUGGGCAAAGAUUUAAUGAUGAAAACACCCAAAGCAAUUGCAACAAAAGCAAAAACUGACAAAUGGGAUCUAAAUAAACUAAAGAGCUUCUGCACAGCAAAAGAAACUAUCAUCAGAGUGAACAGACAACCUACAGGAUGGGAGAAAUGCUUUUUCAAUCUAUCCAUCUAGCAACGGUCUAACAUCCAGAGUCUGCAAGGAACGUAAGCAAAUUUACAAGAAAAGAUAUAACCAUUAAAACGUGGGCAAAGGACAUGAACAGACACUUCUCAAAAGAAGACAUACAUGCAGCCAACAAACAUAUGAAAAAAUGCUGAACAUCACUGAUCAUCAGAGAAAUGCAAAUAAAAACCACAAUGAGAUAGCACGUCACACCAGUCAGAAUGGCUAUUAUUAAAAAGUCAAGAAACAACAGAUGCUGUCAAGGUUGCAGAGAAAAAGGAACGCUUUUACACUGUUGGUAGGAGCGUAAAGUAGUUCAACCAUCGUGGAAGACAGCAUGGCGAUUCCUCAAAAGACCUCCAGGGAGAAAUACCAUUUGACCCAGCAAUCCCAUUACUGAGUAUAUACCCAAAGGAAUAUAAAUAAUUUUAUUAUAAAGAUACAUGCAAUGUGUGAGUUCAUUACAGCUCUAUUCAAAAUAGCAAAGAUAUGGAAUCUACCUAAAUGCCCAUCCGUGGUAGACUGGAGAAAGAAAAUGUGGUACAUAUACACCAUGGGAUACUAUGCAGCCAUAAAAAGGAACAAGAUCAUGUCCUUUGCAAGGACAUGGGUGGAGCUGGAAGCAAUUAGGCUCAGCAAACUAAUGCAGAAACAGAAAACCAAACAACGCAUGUUCUCACUUACAAGGGGGAGCUGAAUGAUGAGAACACAUUUACACAUGGAGGGAACAACACACACUGUGGCCUGUCAGGACGGUGGGGUCAGGGAGAGCAUCAGGAAGAAUAGCUAAUGGACACUGGGCUUAAUACCUAGGUUAUGAGGUGAUCGGUGCAGCAAACCACCACGGCACACGUUUACCUACGUAACAAACCUGCACAUCCUGCACACGUGAACUUAAAAUAAAAGUUGAAGACAAAAACAAAAAAAAAGAAGAAGAAGAAGAAAAGAGUGUGUAUUCUGGGACUGUUGGUUGCAGUGUUCUGCGUAUAUCUAAGUUCAUCUGUUUAUAAUGUUGUUCAAGUUUGUUAUUUCCUCAUCAAUUUUCUGUAUGCAUGUCCUAUGCAUUGUUAAAAGUGCAGUAUUAAAAUCUCCUAUGAUUAUUAAAUUGCUGUAUAUUUUUACCUCUCAGUUAUUCACUGUAUGCUUUAUAUAUUUAUGUUCUCUGAUGUUUGGUAUGUAUGUGUUUAUAAUUAUUAUAUCUCGUUGGUGAGUAGGUUCUUUAAUUUUAUACCAUAUACAUAAAUCAACUUAAAAUAGAUUAAAGAUUUAAGUAUAAGACCUGAAACUGUUCAACUCUUAAACAAGAGUAUAGAUAAAAACUCGCUGACAUUAACCUGGGCAAUGAUUUUUUUGAUAUGUCACUAAAAUCAAAGGCAACAAAAGCAAAAAGAUACAAGUGGUAUUACAUCAAACUGGAGAGCCUCUACACAGCAGAGAAAACAAUCAACAAAAUAAAAUACAGCCUAUUGAAAGGGAGAAAUGUUUAUAAAUGCUAUAUCUGUUACUGCGUUAGUAUAAAAAUAUAUAACAAAUUCCUGCAACUCAAUAGCACAAAUCAAACAACACAAUUUAAAAAAUCAUCAAAGGACUUGAAUAGACACUUCUCCAAUGAAUACAUACAAGCAGCCAACAAGUAUAUGAAAAGGUGUUCCACAUCACUAACCUGAGAAAUGCAAAUCAAACCAUGGUGAGAUGUCACUUCACACUAGUUAGGAUGGCUACUAUGAAAAAGACGGGAGAUAACAAGUUACGAAGAAAAUGUUAAAUAAUGGGACCCCUUGUACUCUGUUGGUGGGAAUGUAAAAUGGUGCAGCUGCUAUGGAAAAUAGUAUGGAGGUUCUGCAAAAGAUUAAAAAUAGGACUACUAUAUGACCCAGCAAUUCCACUGCUGUGCAUAUACCCCGCAAAAUAGAAAUCAAAAUCCUGAAGAGAAAUUUGUACUCCCAUGUUCAUUACAACAUCAUUCACGGUAGCCAACAUAUAGAAACAAUCCAAGUAGCCAUUGACUGAUGAAUAGUGAAACAAAUGUGGUAUAUACAAAAUAGAAUGUUAUUCAGACUUCACAAAGGAGAGUAUCAUGCCGUAAACAACAACAUAGAUAAUCAUAAAGGAUAUUAUGCUAAGGGAAAUAAGCCAGUUAGAGAAAGAUAAACACUGCAUGACUGUCCUUGUAUAUCUGAAAUAUUAAAAAUUAAAGAAGCAGAGAAUAGAAUGGUGAUUUCAAGGGGCUAGUGGCAUUAAAAAUGGGAGGUUGUUGUUUACCAGGUUUAAAAUUUUUGUUAUGCAGGAUAAAUAACUCCUAGAGAUUUGCUGUACAACCCAGUAACAGUAGUUACCAGUAUUGUAUUGUACAAUUAAAAAUUUGUUAAAUGGAACUUCUUAUGUUAAGUGGACUUACCACAAUAAGAAUAUAUGGUACAAAUAUUGAGCUCCGUGUAAUAGAUUUGUUCUGUAUAGAUUUAUGGGUUAGAAAUUUCAAAAUUAUUUAAUGUGUAUUGAAAUUGUAUUUUGUUGAUAAUUGAAACCAAAUUUUCUAUUCUUAGAGAAGUGAAUUACAAAUGUGGUAAAGGAAAUGCGAAAAUGAGCCCGGUGGUGUUGGACUAGAAUUAUAGAUGUUAGUAUGAACAAACAAACAUGUAGCUUAUGUUCUAUCUCUAUCUCUAUCUAUCAUCUAUCUAUCUAUAUCUAUCUAUCUAUCUAUCUAUCUAUCUAUCUAUCUAUCUAUCUAUCAAUCUAUCAUCUAUAGAUAUUAUGCACACGCUUCUAUGUGUUUUUGUGUGUAUGUGUGUAAAAAUUAUCUAAUUUUUAUUUCUGUAUCUAUAUUUCUCUAUCUAUACAUUAUUAUAUAUAAUCUUCUAUGUUUGCAUUCUUGCCCCCUGAGAGGAGUAAGUAGAAGCAUGGACACCUCAACAGCAAUAAGCACAUCUAGCACAAAGAUCUUGGCUUCCAUUUACUGUUAUCUACUCAAUGGAACCAGAGCUCCUUGGAGAAAUGGCUAACUCUAUGUUUAGUACAGAGAAAAUACAAGAUGAACCAGACAUAUAUUUUUGUGCCAUUAAUUAAGGAAGUUUCAAAGACUGAUAAGUACACACAAAGAACACGGAAGACAGUUUGAACAGGAUUUCCCUUACCAAAUCAGGGACAUAUCCGUGUAUUCAUACUUAGAUAGAUAAAUGAAUAAAUAAGUACUGGAAACAUCAAAGGUCAUUUUUACAAUAUAAUUGCAAGUAAAUGUAGAAGAAAAUGUUGAUAUGAAAAAAAAUCACAAGUUGGCCACCACCAUAAAGCUAUUUAUUUCUGAUGAAAAUCAUCAAUAAAUACUAGAAUUAUUGGGUGAAAGUAUGGUGAGACUAGAGAUAUUUACAUAUUCUCACAUUAUAUCUCCCUAAAAGUAUUUAUUAAUUACAAAGGAAAACACAGUAACUUGGCAGUGGACAAAUCUAGCAGAUAUCACCUUAGCCAAGCGAUCAAAUUUAAUAUCAAGAUUUAAUGGUGCAAAUAGUUAUUCUUUGCUUCCUGUUAUGACGUACUGAGAAUAACAUAGUAACAAUGGUGUGCUAAUCCUUCCUAAACUGUACAAUAUCGAGUGAAUUAAUAGGAAAAAAACCAGCAAAAAGCACAAAUUGAAGGACAGUCUACAAAAUACUGGCCUUUAUAUUUUAAGUAUUAAAGUAAUAAAAAACAAAUGUUAAACAACCAAUCCACAUCAAGAGAGACUAAAGAGACAUUACAACUAAAUGUGGUACCUGAUAAUGUAUCAGAUCCUGGACCAGAAAAAGGAAUAUAUUUAUUUGGCUUUAAAUGACAUUAGUGGGAUAGAUGGUGAAAUUCAAAUGAGGAUUUUAGAUUAUCAGGGUAGGAGUACUUCUUCUUAAAUUGCCAGAGAGUAAAUAUUUUAGACUUUCUGGGUCAUGGGAUCACUGUUGAAACCACUGAACUCUGUCCUUGUAAAACAAAAACAGCUGUAGACAAGAGGUAAGCCAGUAGGCUUGGCAUUGCUCCAACACAAUUUUAUUUACAAAAACAGGCAGUUGUCCCACGGGUUUUAGUUUACUAACACCUAAAUUAGAUAACAGGACUACAUUAAUGUUAGCAUACUCAUUUUCAAAAUUCUUAUCCUGAGAGUGUGCAUAUCUUGCUUUUAAGAUUAUAUAUUAAUGGUAAGAAUAUAUGCACAUAUAUAUGUGUGAGUGUAUUUCUGAAAUAUACAUAUAUACAUAACAAAACAGAUGUACUAUGUUAUGUUUUAAAAUGUAAUGUAUUAAUAGAAAAUUUCAGGUAUAGUGAGUAAGUCGAACAUACAAGGAGAUGAUUGCCAUUAAUAAGAUAGUUUACUAGCUACAGUUCCCACAAGGAAGGGGCACACCGUGCCACGGGAGGCCAAAUAAAAAAGCACUAGGGUCUGCCAGAAGGUAGAGGAAGAGGAGAGAAUUGUGGUCAAGAACCUCUGUUGUUGUUCUUAUGGGAAGAAAUUGGUGAGCCUAUUUAAGCUGGUUUACAAGUGUCUGGUUUUAAUAAUUUCAAGAAUACCUUGCAUUGGCAGUGAUUAAGGCAGAGGGAUAGUGGCCCAGAGAUAAAAGACCAAAAAAGGAAGUGGUUAACCGUGUAUCCUCUGUAUUGAUUGACUUGUAUUUGAAAAGCACACUGUCAGAUUAGUUAUUUUCUUGCUCUAGGAAAUGGCUAACCCUGGGAUGAGCAGUCCCUCCAGGGUCAGCAGGGCCCCAGAUCUCAA